AUGUACAUCCCUAUAACGUAGUGUUAAUGCACCAGAUCCCAUUAGAACUCCAUAGUUAAGCGUUCUUGGGAUAGAGUAGUACUGGGAUGGGUGAACAUUUGGGAAGGCCUAGUGUUUUACAUG
rnacentral:rRNA from 1 species